UACAGAGGGUGCGAGCGUUGUCCGGAAUCACUGGGCGUAAAGGGCGCGUAGGCGGCGCGGUAAGCGUGCGGUGAAAGCCCGGGGCUCAACCCCGGGUCGGCCGUGCGGACUGCCGGGCUGGAGCACUGUAGAGGCAGGUGGAAUUCCGGGUGUAGCGGUAGAAUGCGUAGAGAUCCGGAAGAACACCGGUGGCGAAGGCGGCCUGCUGGGCAGUAGCUGACGCUGAAGCGCGACAGCGUGGGGAGCAAACAGG
rnacentral:rRNA from 1 species